rnacentral:rRNA from 1 species
AACGGCCAUACCAUGUUGAAUAUACCGGUUCUCGUUAGAUCACCGAAGUCAAGCAUCAUUGGGCGUGGUCAGUACUUGGGUGGGUGACCACCUGGGAACACC